rnacentral:miRNA from 2 species
UGGCUCAGUCCAGCAGGAACAA